rnacentral:tRNA from 1 species
UCCGACGUAGCUCGAUGGCAGAGCGACCGCCUGUUAAGCGGAAGGUUGGGGGUUCGAGUCCCCCCGUCGGAGCCA